GCUUACGACCACACCGGCCUGAGUACGCCUGAUCUCGUCUGAUCUCGGAGCUAAGCAGGGUCGGGCCUGGUUAGUACUUGGAUGGGAGACUUCCUGGGAAUACCAGGUGCUGUAAGCU
ensembl:rRNA 5S_rRNA 5S ribosomal RNA